UACGAAGGGUGCAAGCGUUACUCGGAAUUACUGGGCGUAAAGCGUGCGUAGGUGGUUCGUUAAGUCUGUCGUGAAAGCCCCGGGCUCAACCUGGGAAUGGCGAUGGAUACUGGCGGGCUAGAGUGCGGUAGAGGAGAAUGGAAUUCCCGGUGUAGCAGUGAAAUGCGUAGAGAUCGGGAGGAACAUCAGUUGCGAAGGCGGCUCUCUGGACCAGCACUGACACUGAGGCACGAAAGCGUGGGGAGCAAACAGG
rnacentral:rRNA from 1 species